rnacentral:lncRNA from 1 species
AUCUUAAAUAAGAUUUUGAAUUCCUUUUGAAGCAAAACUUUCAAUAUAUGCAUGGCAUCAUCAGCUAUAUUCCUAUAAAAGUUAGAGUAAAUAGUCAAUUUCCCUCCUAAAAUUGUAAGUUUCAUCAAUUAUCCCUUUGAAAUUAACAAAACUUCAAUUACCCCCCUGAAAUUUCACAACGUUAGUCAAUUUACCCCCUCCGUCAAAUUUUUCUGUUAGCGAACAUGACGUUUUGCAAAUACCCCAUGAAGUUUUGCACUUAUGUGCAAAAUGCCCCCCAAACUUAAAAAUUUAUAUUAUUUUUUUCAUAAAAACAAACAAUUAAUAGUUAAAUAUUAAAACUAACUAUUAAUUUUGGAAUUUGGAAAAACUACAUGCAUAUAUACAUCAAAAUAGGCUCCAAAAUGGGGAAAAAUAUGUAUUUUUUAAAGUGACAAUAAUGGGAUGAUUUGUGGAUUAAUAUUGAGGGUUGUGUAGUUUAAAUGGUUUGAGCAAAUUGUUGAAGGAGUUAAAAGACUAAGAUGGUGAAGGAGAAAAUAUAAAUUUAAAUCUGAUUAUUAAUUUGUUUAUAAACCUCUAAAAAUAAUAAUUUGUCUAUUAGAAAUAACCAUUAUUGUCACUUUAAAAAUACACAUUUUUCCCUAUUUUGAUGUAUAUAUGUAUGUAGUUUUUCCAAACUCCAAAAUUAAUAGUUAGCUUUAAUAUUUAACUAUUAAUUAUUUGUUUUUAAGAAAAAAAUAAUAUAAAUUUUUAAGUUUGGGGGCAUUUUGCACAUAAGUGCAAAACUUCAGGGGGGGUAUUUGCAAAACGUCAUGUUCACUAACAUAAAAAUUUGACGGAGGGGGUAAAUUGACUAACGUUGUGAAAUUUCAGAGGGGUAAUUGAAUUUUUGUUAAUUUCAGGGGGGUAAUUGAUUAAACUUACAAUUUCAGGGGGGAAAUUGACUAUUUACUCAUAAAAGUUAAUUAAAUUAUAGCUAAUAACCACCCCCUCAAUCAAAGAAAAAAAAACAAUGAUCUUGUUCUUCUUUCUUCCAACAACGAAGCUACUUCUUUCUUUUUAUCAACCCCUCUUGCGUUCCCUUCCGGCCUCCAUCUCUCAGCCGCGCACCGCUACACACACCGGUAACCACC